UUGACGGGGAGCACCACAACAGGUGGAGCCUGCGGUUUAAUCGGACUCAACGCCGGGAAACUCACCAGAUAAGACAGCUGAACGAUAGUCGGGCUGAAGACUCUACUUGACUAGCUGAGAGGAGGUGCAUGGCCGUCGUCAGUUCGUACUGUGAAGCAUCCUGUUAAGUCAGGCAACGAGCGAGACCCACGCCAACAGUUGCCAGCUCGUCCUCCGGGAUGGUGGGGGACACUGUUGGGACCGCCUCUGCUAAAGAGGAGGAAGGAAUGGGCAACGGUAGGUCAGCAUGCCCCGAAUUAUCUGGGCUACACGCGGGCUACAAUGGGUGGGACAAUGGGUAUCGACACCGAAAGGUGAAGGCAAUCUCCUAAACCCAUCCGUAGUUCGGAUUGUGGGCUGCAACUCGCCCACAUGAAGCUGGAAUCUGUAGUAAUCGUGUCUCAAAAUGGCACGGUGAAUAUGUCCCUGCUCCUU
rnacentral:rRNA from 1 species